rnacentral:rRNA from 1 species
GACGAACGCUGGCGGCGUGCUUAACACAUGCAAGUCGAACGGAAAGGCCCUUCGGGGUACUCGAGUGGCGAACGGGUGAGUAACACGUGGGUGAUCUGCCCUGCACUUUGGGAUAAGCCUGGGAAACUGGGUCUAAUACCGAAUAGGACCACGCGCUUCAUGGUGUGUGGUGGAAAGCUUUUGCGGUGUGGGAUGGGCCCGCGGCCUAUCAGCUUGUUGGUGGGGUAAUGGCCUACCAAGGCGACGACGGGUAGCCGGCCUGAGAGGGUGACCGGCCACACUGGGACUGAGAUACGGCCCAGACUCCUACGGGAGGCAGCAGUGGGGAAUAUUGCACAAUGGGCGCAAGCCUGAUGCAGCGACGCCGCGUGAGGGAUGACGGCCUUCGGGUUGUAAACCUCUUUCAAUAGGGACGAAGCGCAAGUGACGGUACCUAUAGAAGAAGCACCGGCAAACUACGUG